rnacentral:lncRNA from 1 species
UAAUUAAUUUUUCCAGUUGAGUUUCACAGUACUAUCAUGUUCAAUUCAUCUUGAUUUAUUAUUCCAUGGAGCUCCAACUUCAUACACCUUUUUAUGUGGAUUCGUUUCUUCUCUGUAUUCGACUUCUUCUUUUUUUACAGAAUAUUGAAGCUCUAAUGAUGGAUUAUUAUUCUCUACCAGGAUGUCUCUCGAGCUCGCUUGACGGGUUGAUUAAUCUGUUGGCGUUCUACAAUUUACGGUGAGCUUGAAUAAUAUUUCUUUAAUGUUUUCUUUUCUGAAGUCAUCUAAAACUAAUGUAUUGAAAUGGGAAGAAUUUGAUGCAACUAACGUAUUUGAAAAUACGCCUACAAGAAGUGUUUUUGACGCAACUAACGUAUUUGACAAUACGCCUUAAAGAAGUGUAAAACAAGUUUAUAGCUAAAAUUUGUACAAUUUCCUCCUCAAGUCUUUUUGUAUGACUUUUGUGGUGGUAAAACUGAAAAUAUUUCAGGCAUGAUUACGUUAACAAGAUGAAUUGUUGAAGGUGUAAGAUCUGUGUGAGGCUCAUAAGAAAAUUCAUUUGCUCAAGUUGCAAUUACAACCUGAGCAUGUUAAUUAAUUAGCGCCUCUGUUGUGCAACUUAAUUUGUAGGUCCAAUGUUGUAUGUUUGUGAGAACUCUAAGCUUCUGCUAUAAGAAAGUAUUUCAAUUUGUUAAUUUCAGUACCGAUGCGGACAUUUGCAUUUACUUUGAGCGGAAAGAAAAGUCAUUGCAAAGAUGAGAUAUUUUGAAUUAUACUCUUUCAAACAACUUGAUCUCCUAAUUUAAAAUAGGAAAGAAUCUAAUAAUUUUGUAUUGAUGUGAAUUAUGGCCUUACAGGUUCUUGAACAAGCAGAGAUGAUUGAGCUUUUGCUGUGGUUUAACCAUAUCAACUCCUUUUAUGCAACUUGCAAUACCCGUUAUGUUUCUUAAUGAGACAUGAUGACUUGAUUGUUGAGUGCAGGCACUUGAUGGCAAAGCUGCAAGUCACGAAGAUGGAGCAUGUUUUCCGUGAACAAAACAGAGUAGCCGACAGA